CGCACAAACGGAAAACGGGAGUCAUCCUUAUUUUGUUCGCUGUCGCAGUCUUUAUGAAUCAGGGAAGUGGAGCCUAUGCUGUUGGAGUAACCUAAAAAAAGCGCCUCCCGCUGUGUCUGACAAAUCUAUGAAAAUCAGAAUGUCCGGAGAACAAGAUCAUAUGAUGCGUUCCCUGAUGUAAUCCUAUAUCACAAUGACAUAUGAACGGACAGUGCUGUUAUCCUAUAUUUCAAGAUAAAAACUAUUACUACUACAGCUGGACAGAAGCAGAUCAUGCUGCUAUGGGACCUUUUCCUUCAGUGGAGGCAGAAACACAACAGUUUGAGAGUUACCCAGGCAACAUUUUUACACUUGGAAACAACGCGGAAUAUCCCAAUUGUGAGGGUUAAUGAUGUUGUAAACGAGCAGGAAUAUCCCAAUUGUGAGGGUUCUUGAUACUAAACACGUUUUGCAGACAAAUUCCUUUACAUAUAGAAGAUUUGUAUAGCGUAAUACAUGUAGGAGAUAUACCUUUAAAACAUCGUAUAAUUGGAACUUGCCUGUACCGAUAGGUGGCAUAUUGCAAUACCAAGUUUGAAAAGAAAACAUAUAAUUAAUAACGCUUUUUUCUCUCUCUGUUUUAUUUAAGCUCGACAGAAAGGUAUUUGGUCUGCAAUAAUUUUACUCAUUUGUUUCAUUCAGUAAGUUUACAUAUCAAUAUCAAAAAGAAAUAUCACGAAAACUCCUCAAAGAUUUGACACAUCAUCUGAAGGAAAAUAGACCCUUAAUUGAGGAAAACGCGGUAGCGACUAUGCUACUAUAUUCGGUGUCUCUAAUUUAGCACUGUUUAUGUUUUCAAAUGCUCUGAAGGACAUACGCAUGGCCAAUUAAUGUGAUAUCAUUUUCUUCACACGGAACAUUCAUCGGUUGCGAAAGCGGAAGAUUUAUAUUCCGAUCUGGACUAAAAAAUUUUCAUUCUAAGCCGAACGGGAAUAAGCUCAUGCACGUGGGACAUACAAACAGUUUCUUACAAACAAGUGUACUCAUACACUAUUCAAAGGGGUAACGGUAGAGGUAACAAAAAAUGCUUCUUCCCGUCUGGCUAACAAGUCCACCAUCCUUGAAAAUGUAACACGUUCCCUGAUGUAACCCUGUCACAAUGACAUAACAGACAGUGGUGUUAUUAACUGCGGCAUGGAGGCCGCAUGUAAAUUGGAAAACAAUAAAUAGUGUGAUUGCACUUUGGCAAUAUAGCUGGCAUUCUAUAUGAUAUAUAAAGAAAUGUUUGUGACCUGAAUUCCUCAUUCAUUAUUUCAUAUAAUUCAUUCAAACUUUCAGCAGUGAUCAAUAUUGAUACCUAAUUGUGCUUAAGGGAUUUUUUAAAUUGCUGUUUAAUUUCCUGGAUUAUCGUCCUGUGUUGUCUUGCUCUGUAUGUCAACGAAGUCCAGGUGAAGGCAUGCAUCACAUUUGUGAUAGCUCUAGUAAAUUAUUUCAAUAGUCAAGGUAUGUGACCAGAUGAGCUAAAAGUUAUGUUAUACAUGAAAUGGAAAUAUAGUUAUUUUUGCUAAAAAUAAAAACUUUCAGAAUUUAGAAAAUAAAUUAUACAUAUUUUAUAGAUCUACUUGUAAAUCAUGUAGAGUGGUGUAAUAUUUCCUAUAAUAAAAACGUAAUGGUAUAAUAAAGCAAGCACGUCAUUCGCCCAUAAGCUAUUUAUUUUUUAGGGUGAUAGGUCACUCAUACCGGUCACCGUGGCCCAGUGGUUAAGGCGUUCGCCUCGGGAUCGGGAGGUUGAAGGUUCGAGCCCCAUGGGGAGCGUUCGUCAGGGGGAUGUUUGUCAUGAGACUCCUUCCAAAAAGGCCAGUUCGUGAGCCGCGAGCUAGUUAAAUGAAUGGUUACUGACUUCUAUCCGCCUGGCGCCUGACAUUGUGGUAGGAGUUAAGAGGUAAUUGGUACGCACAAUAAAGGUGUCUCCUAAGCCAAAUUGGCUGACCCUUUCAAUAAUGGAACACUAUAUAUAAUAAACAAGACCUUUACCCUUUUUUUACAUCCAUAACAAUUUCUGGUCUGUAUAACUUCUUGUCGCAGGAAAUCUUUCGACUUGUCCUAUAUUUCAGAUUACAACUAUUACAGCUACAGUUGGACAGAAGCAGAUCAUGCUGCUAUGGGACCUUUUCCUUCAGUGGAGGCAGAAACACAACAGUGUGAGAGUUACCCAGGCAACAUUUUUACACACGGAAACAACGCGGAAUAUCCCAAUUGUGUGGGUUAAUGAUGUUGUAAACGAGCAGUGUAUACAUGCUACGAAUGGCAAACAGAUGAUCUAGAAGUUUUGAGUUCAACUGUUCAGGAUGAAAAAUCACAAUGUGAGAGCCACGAGAAUUUCGUGUUCCAAGGAAAUAAUACCAUAUAUCAGAACUGUGGAGGUUGCUGGUGCUGCCAACCAGCAUUUGAAUGUUAUAACUGGACAGCCGAGGACCUACAGAUUAUGGGCCCAGACCGCACACCAGAUGAUGAGAAGGCACUAUGAGAGGAUGACAUGGGAUUCAUCUUCACGCAAGGAAACAACGAGAGUUUUC